GCCCCCUGCCGGACUGCGUCAGCUCCUCUGCGGGAGCCGUCGCCCCCCACCGCGGAUUCUGCGAAGUUGCGAGCUGAAAGCCGGUCGGUCCAGCAGCCUCCGACCUCCAGAGCGGCAUCCCUGGCCCUUUUUUAUUGCAAGGGCCUAACGGAGCUGCGAAAGAGCUCUGAGAGGCCCUUUGUGUCUGCAGAGCCGCCGCAGGCGUCCGACAGGGGCCCUUACCUGAUCGGCUCCACCCGCGGCCAUCUUGGAAGUGGGAAGCGGCCGGGAGGGGGAAGGGGCACGAAUGGGCAAGGACCAGGCGUGGGGAGCAGAGCGGCGGAGCGCAUCGAUGGGAGCCUUUUCCCUGCAGGUCAGAAUUCUAAAAAUUCAGUACCUAGUCUCACGGCAGAAGAGUGGAGAUUUGAAAAUGUGGUCUCAAUAGAAUGCAAGAGAGGCCUCACAGACAUUUCUCACAGUAUUUGGUGCAUAAUAAAUGCUUAAAUUUCUGGUGGUUUUAAGCAAAAACAAUAACCUGGCAGCUGGUUUUGAGCACUAACAGGAACACAGACUUGCCUCAGCCCUGCUCAGUUCUUACAACUGAUACUUGGGAUGAGCAAGCCUGCUUUGAUGGUGUUCCUUGAGCCCCAGCUCCCUUCCACCCCUAAUUCUGAGUCUCAGGGGUUUAAAACGCUACAGUGACAAGAAACUGCCAUUGUCAGGAAUCUAGAACUAGAGUUUGUGGUCCACAGGUUUGUGUUUGGCGCCCUCUGUCUGCCCUGCUCUCACCUUCACCAACCUGCUGCCAGGAUUCAGAGCCUCUCCUUGGGAGUCCAUGGUCACUUACACUGGCUCUGUGACUUGUCCCGUGUCUUGCCCUUUGUUAUAAGAGUACACAUGUCUGCUAGAUGCAGUCUAGCAGACAUGUGUACUCUUGAGUCUGACAAAAUCAAAAACAGCAAACAGCCCUGCACCUCUCAGCAGUUCAGUUCCUCCCCGAUUGCCCAUUGCCUCAGAGAAACCUCAGAGUGAGUCCCCACAGCACCACCUGCCCCCAGCAGCAUCGAGAAAGUAUGUUGGCCAACUCACCACCAUGAGGAGAGACCCUCCAGCCUGACCUCAUCCUCCCUCAGAGGAGUGAGGAUGCCUUUCCUGGGAUGUCCAAUAUCUAUGGAAACCAUAUCUGAGCACCUGCUGGGCAUUGGGGACACUAGAGUGGCCCACAGCCUCAACUGCUUCCCUCACAGAGUUCCCAGGACAGACAGAUGUACAUUUAUAUAUGCAAUUUUGUCCUAAGGAAAAUGGUUGCCUGGAAGACCUCAGGAGGCACACCAGGGCACCAGAGCUCCAACAAUGAGUAUUGAGAGAGAAGGACAGAAGGGCUUGUGGUUGAGUGGGGCAGGAUGUCAGCACACAGUCUGGAGGCCUCUGUCAUGCCCCUCAUCUCUCCAGAGGGACCUCAUUUCCCCAGCACAUAUUUGUGCCCCUAUUCCCUGCCCCUAGA
rnacentral:lncRNA from 1 species